UUCGGAAGGCGCAAGCGCAAGGCAACACGUGUACAACAGUGUUCCUGUGCCCCUAUGCACGAGAAUGUCUGUGUGUUUUUGAAGGUCUGGGUAUAAGUGCUUCUCUCCGCUUUGGCCGGGGUGGGGUGGGGGUGAGGGGCGCCUGGAGGUAGGUGUUUUCCGGUCUGCCUGCCUGCUUGUAGGUCUCUUUUCUGUUGAUCUCUGCAUAUGACUGCGUGUAUUUCCGAAAGUUUAUGUGUGUCCCUCAGCUGUGCGUUUCUUCCCCCGCCUGUCCCUCCCCACCCCCAGGUCCUUGCUUGCUAGUAAUAUCUUUUUCCUUGCGUCUUUUUUCUUUUUUUAAACAUUUAUUUAUGUUGGUGGGGGGACACAUAGGGAGGUCAAGUCCAGACUUGCUGGAAUCCAUUCAUCCUUUCCACGGCUGUGAAUUCCAAGGAUUAAAGUCAGAUUGUCAGGCUUGUCAAGAGCCUUCACCUGUAGCUCCUCCCCUUUUCAUAUUUUAUUUAUGGGGGAGGAUGUGUAUGGAGGUCAGAGGACAGUUUCAAGAAUUGUUUGUUUGCUUUCACUCUAUGGGUCCUGGAUAUCGAACUUCCAUGCCUGUGUAUGGGUUGACUUUUAAUUUUUUGAGACAGUGUCUCUUUAUGUGACCCUGGCUGACCUAGAACUCCCUAUGUAGAUCAGGCAGGC
rnacentral:lncRNA from 1 species